rnacentral:rRNA from 1 species
ACACUCCUGCGGGAGGCAGCAGUGGGGAAUAUUGCACAAUGGGCGCAAGCCUGAUGCAGCCAUGCCGCGUGUAUGAAGAAGGCCUUCGGGUUGUAAAGUACUUUCAGCGGGGAGGAAGGCGAUAAGGUUAAUAACCUUGUUGAUUGACGUUACCCGCAGAAGAAGCACCGGCUAACUCCGUGCCAGCAGCCGCGGUAAUACGGAGGGUGCAAGCGUUAAUCGGAAUUACUGGGCGUAAAGCGCACGCAGGCGGUCUGUCAAGUCGGAUGUGAAAUCCCCGGGCUCAACCUGGGAACUGCAUUCGAAACUGGCAGGCUAGAGUCUUGUAGAGGGGGGUAGAAUUCCAGGUGUAGCGGUGAAAUGCGUAGAGAUCUGGAGGAAUACCGGUGGCGAAGGCGGCCCCCUGGACAAAGACUGACGCUCAGGUGCGAAAGCGUGGGGAGCAAACAGGAUUAGAUACCCUUGUAGUCCC